rnacentral:rRNA from 1 species
GACGAACGCUGGCGGCGUGCUUAACACAUGCAAGUCGAACGGUGACGGAGAGCUUGCUCUCCUGAUCAGUGGCGAACGGGUGAGUAACACGUGGGCAACCUGCCCAGACUUCGGGAUAACGCUUCGAAAGAGGUGCUAAUACCGGAUACGAGCUCCUUGGGCAUCCUUGGAGUUGGAAAGUUUUUCGGUCUGGGAUGGGCCCGCGGCCUAUCAGCUAGUUGGUGAGGUAACGGCUCACCAAGGCGACGACGGGUAGCCGGCCUGAGAGGGCGACCGGCCACACUGGGACUGAGACACGGCCCAGACUCCUACGGGAGGCAGCAGUGGGGAAUAUUGCGCAAUGGGCGAAAGCCUGACGCAGCAACGCCGCGUGAGGGAUGACGGCC